rnacentral:lncRNA from 1 species
GUUCUGUCAAUUUCUGCUGUACAGCAAAGUGACCCAGUCACACACACAUACACACACAUUCUUUUUCUCAGAUUAUUCUCUAUCAUGUUCCAUCACAAGUGACUAGAUUAUAGUUCUCUGAGCUAUACAGCAUAUCUCGUUUUUUAAAGCAAAAAUGACAACAAAAGGAAAAAGUAAAAAAAAAAAGGAAGAGGGGUACCAGGGCAAGGGAGGGGAAAAAAGAAUCUUCCUCCCAUUUCUUAGCCUUAAGAAGAACUUCCCAGAGCUCUACUGGAAAGUGUGUUAGAAUACUCUGAUUCUCUGUUAAUGGUAUUAAGGGGGAAAAAAAAAAAAGAGCAAUGGACCUAAUAUGUGUUUUUCAAAAUCCUUUGAUUCUAAAUCCAUUCAACUAUAAAUCUGGGUUAUUACUUCAAAAGCUAGAUACAUCCUGACUUUCCUAAAGUGACGUAAAAUAUUCAAUCCCAGGCCAAGAAAAAAUCCCAAACCAACCAACAGAAGUCAAGGAAAAUUGAAUACAGAAGCUUUCAACUUGAAUUAUUCAGGUCCAAGGAAAUUAAGUCUUUCAUCUUUUCUCCCUAGUUAACUUUUAAAACAUUUAAGACACCGUGCCCUAAAUAUUUCAAAAUAUAAUCCAAAAGUGAUCAAAUUCCAUUUUGUGAGUUGAAGAGUACAGAUAAAUAUAUCAAUUUUAUCUAGACUAUACAUACCCAUUUCUUUCAUGGGGAUUGAAGAAUACUGAUAGUACUGUAGCUAUUAAAAUGCUUCUAAAACAGCAGUUGAUAUUUGAUAUUUUGAUUAAUUUAACUAUAAAUUAAACCAUCACCCCCGAAAUGCUUUUUAAAGAUAAAAGAUACUCUCUAGGAAGAAUCCACAAAUGAUGACACCCCAUUUACACACACACCACUAGACAGGAAAAAAUGGCUUAUGAAUUAGUUUAAAUGGAAAACUGACAAACAGAAAACUUCCAAGAGACAGCUGAUAAACAGAAACAUCACACCAGCAGCCCAGUCCCUGAAUAGCUAACUGCCUAGAAUAUAUACAACUUCUGAAAUAUCUUUUGAUGGGAUGAAAGCAUUUUCACAUAUCCAAUCCAUUAUUUAAAGUUUUUCCAUGACCCUCCCUCAUCCACAGACUUGGGCACAAAGAAAACCUAAACACAGGAGGUCUCUUUCCUUAUGUGGACUUCAAAGGAGAAAAACACAGUCUCAUGAAAUAUCUGUGAACUCAUCUUUUUGAGUGUAGUGUAGACUGAAGGCCACCAGUCUGCAGUCACAGCCACAGGUUCCUUUCCAGCCACUUCCAGGGUUUGAGCAUCUCCACUUUGGGGACAGUAAGGGUAUCAUUUAGCACAGCCAUCCCCACCAGCGUGGCCCCUGGACCCCUGUGGGCCCCCUCAACUCUUUCAAGGAAACCCAUGAGGUCAAAACUACUUUUAUAAAGAUACUUCUCGCAAGAGGUAGAGUUUUCCAGAGGCUACAGGAUGUGGGAUAUGACAACAGACUGCAUGUGAAGUAGAGGUGAGAAGCUAGCAAGCUGUCUUCCAUUAAGCCAGGGCAUAAAAGAGAUCAUUCACAAAAAUAUGAAAAAAUGCCAUUCUUCUGUUUUGCAUUUUGGAAAAUAUUUUUCCAUCAUAACAUUUUAUUUAUAUUGGGAUGCAAUGGGUUUGUUAUUAUUUCCAAAUAAAUACAUUUUUAAAAACGUUCUCCAUUUUCAGUUCUCAGAUGUCAAAUAUCAAAUAUAAUUCAUGUAAACAAAGCUCUUGAAGGUCCUCAAUAAUUUUUAAGAGUGCAAAGGGGUCCUGCAACCAAAAAGUUUGACAACCAGUGAUUUAUUACCACAAUUCUUAAUUUACAGUAAAUGCUCAAUGUGUGAAUGUGUGGCCAAUAGACUGAUUAAGGGGUGUUAAUGGUUUUUAAAUAGGCAGGGGACUCCAGAGUUGAAUAUAUGGAUAUGGCCAGUAAAGACCCUGGGAUGACCAUCUUCAAAUCCUCUGCACCUGCUUACAACAUGAUUUUUUUUAAGAAGGUAAAAACACAAAAGUGUACAACAAUGAUUAUUGCAAUAAUGAUGCCAGGGAAGUAUGGCUUAAAGACAGGUAAAAGGCAGGUAAGGAAGAUAGGUAUUACUGAGAAAAGGUUCUGAUUAUCGGUGGAUUUCCUUUGUUCAUCCUAUCACCACUUUCAUCUCAUUUCAGAGAAACAAUAUCUUCUAUGAAUACAGACAGCAAGUCCUUCCAAAGGGGUUUAUGGGAUUUUAUACACAGGUUAAUUAAACUAUGUAACAUCCUAUAUGAUACAAGGGCUUAGGACCCCACGAGGUCAUGGGGUCCUCUGUGUGGACCAAUUAGUUAACUUUUUUGGGUUCUGUAGUCAUAGUGCUCAUGUGCGUCUUUCAAAUUUGCUUCCUGGAAAUGUCUUGUUUAUCUUGUAAAAUCCAUUUUGGACAACACCUCUUCCAAAACACUUUCCUUGAUUUCCUCUUUCUCAGAGAAGGUCAAACAAAAUGUCUUUCCUCUGACCUAGCUCUGGACCUUGUACAUAAGCCUGUGGUAGCAUGUAGCCCAUGCUACUAAAAUUCUUUAUUUUCACUGUCUCCCUUAGAGGACCACAAGCCACUUGAAGGCAGGGCCCAUGCACUAUCUACCUUUUUGUUCCAAUUCCUCUCAAAACAUUGAAGACACUUAAAAAGAACUAUCAAACUGUAGUCAGUCACCUUACAGAUGCAUAAGACAACUACCAACUUCCAGAAAUACAAGGAAAAGAAUACUAAGGAAUUGACUACUUAAACCCUGCUUUGUUUCCAGCCUGCCUAGAAAUCCACCAUGCAUGUCUUAGUGAUGGUGAAUUUGUCUUGCCACGUUUGAGAACAAAGAGCAGCCCAUUAAAGAGAGCCCGCCUCUAAAAACAUAUCUCCAAGAAGCUUUAGUUUUUCGUCUUUCUGAAAAGAGAGAGGGUGCAAAAUGCAAGUGGUAUAUGCAAGUCUUUCAAAUGCUAAAAUAAAUCAAGGUAAAAACUCACAGGGCAAAAAGCAGAACUAAAGUGACAAACAGUCAAUUAGUAGAAGAGGACCGGAGAAAGGGGGGAAGUCUAAGUACCUGGAAGCUUCUAGGCCAUCAGAGAAGGCUGGAGGGUCAUGCUCUAAAAUCAAUCAAGCUUUGUUGCCACCUUUUAAGUGGCACACCCGUCAGCAAAAAAGACUCAUUUUUAUCAGCACAGCAAUGAACAACUUGUAUGCCUAAGGUUGGCUUUGGCAAAGAAAUGGGUAAAGUAGGUCGUUUCCAUGUUUAGCUUUAAGAAUGUGGCCAUAUGGUAAGAAUUAAGACAUUUCCCAGAGAUGUCUGCAUACCUCCAAAAGACAAGGGCAGUCCCAGUAGCACUCAGGCGGAAAUGCGAGAUUGGAUAACCGAAGGCCACCAAAUCUUAGGAAACACUACAGAGAGUAAAGGUCUUGAAGCAUAAAGAGCUUGUCCAUCCUCACAACCAUCCAAGAUAAUUGGAUGUGUAUCCUUUUGUGAGACUUUGAAAAUACCAAUUUACUUCUCAUUCAUUAGUCUGAUUUCAAACCACCCUUAUCGAAUGUCUCAAUUAUCCCAGACUCCAAGGUCAUCUAACACCCAGACACUCUCUAUAUUUGUUUUCUUCACUCCAUUAUAACUCUGUUUUCCUCAUUAAAACCAGCGUCUUGGCCCAGAAGGAAAUUUCACUGCAGAACCAUAGAGUGUUAGAGCUGAAAGUCAACCCUAGGAAUCGACUGAUCUCACCUCAUCCAGUAUAGGAAAACUGUGGCCCAGAGAACUGAAGCUCCUUACCUGCAGUGGGUCACACAGCUAAGGACAGUUGGAAAUAAGCAGGGCCUCAGGUCUCGCUUCCUGCCGUAUAGUACUGUUUCCCGCACACCAAAGCGAAGAAGCAUCUGGAAAUGUGCAUUUGGACAAAUAGCUAGCCCUGAGCACCAUUUCCUCCCUACAUAAAUAAAAGCAAUGCUUUCCACCUGCCACCGCUACCCUGGGAACAUCCACAGCGCGUGUGUUUAUUCCCUCGAGCCCAUUGCGGGAAGAUGGAAGACAGACCAUCACGGUGAGCAGCAGAGCUGAUCCUGCAAGGAGGCAGUGACAGGGAGCCCAGGCUCCGCCUUGAGAAGCGGCCGGAGAAGCAGGAUGUGUGCCUAAGCCUCAAAAUGUCUCCUUGAAGUAUUUGUUGAUUUCACAGGGGAAAAGGGUGACUUUAUAGUGGAGAAGGCUGACAGACACCACCAGUCUUUUUUUUUGGGAGGGUCCUUUCUAGGGCUGCACCCGUGGCAUAUGGAGGUUCCCAGGCUAGGGGGUUGAAUCGGAGCUGCAGCUGCCAGCCUACACCACAGCCACGGCAAUGCCAGAUCCAAGCUCACGGCAACGCCAGAUCCUUAACCCACUGAUCGAGGCCAAGGAUCGAACCUGCAUCUUCAUGGACACUAGUUGGGUUCGUUACUGCUGAGCCACAAUAGCGGGUAACUCCGAAAGUGGAAUCUUGUGCCCCACAUGCGAUGUGCAAGGAAGAGUCCUGCACCACUGUGGGCUCCCCAGCAGCCCUGGCCUCUACCCAACCCUGAGGAAACACCAGAUGACCCAAGCCGGGGGCCAUUCUAGAAAGUACCUGACAAGUGAUCUUCACAAGGGUUAAGACUAGGAAAAAACAAGGAAAAAUCAAGGAGAAGGAGGACAGUAAGGAGACAGGAUAACUCAAUGCACUGUAGGAUCUUCGACUGGAGUCUGAAAUAGGAAAAGGACACCGGUGGAAAGCUAGAGAUGGGUAAAAUCCAAAGACAGUCUAUAGGUGGUGGCAUCGUGGCUGCAUUCAUUUCUUAGUCCUGACCCUAUAGAAAAGGGAUG